rnacentral:lncRNA from 1 species
AAUCUGUUGGCAUGACAGGUCAGAGAAGCCGUGAAGGACAUGGAAGGAAGUAGAUGGAACUGGAAACAGGAGGCCAACCCCAGCAGUCAGUGGUGCUCAGAAAAAAAUAAGACACUGAAAUUUGAGGACUUAAUGGAGUUUGGUGCCUUCAGUUAGCUGAUGUCUAUGAAGCCUGACCAGUCUACUUCUAGUCUAUAAGAUCAUGUGGAAGCUUCAGUGACAAACUUCUACUUUACUAAUGAUUUUAUGAUCCUGUUACCCAUUGCAAUUGCUUAAAUGGUAUUUUAAUUAGCUGCUUUAAAUGACUUUGCUUUUUUACAAAAAGCAGUGUGUGCUUUAGUUUAAAAUAUGGGUCACUGGUGUUUC